CAUGCGCUAAAACAAUAAAACUUACGAAUCUGUUUUUCGCGAAGUGUCAUCAUAUUUACAGUCAAGACAACCAGAUAUAUAUGAAAAUUAAUAAAUAUUUAUAAUAAUGAGGGUGUUGAAAAUAUAUAAAUAUAUGUAGAUUAAACUCAAUCCAGAUGGCAGCAAGUGUGUCAGUGUAAAAUAUAAAAAAAAAAUUGCGACUUUUAACACAACAAUUACCAGUUGUCAAUUUUUAAAUAAUUUGACAGGUGAAUUUCAAAUUGUCGAUUGUAAACAAUGAAGCGGGC